rnacentral:rRNA from 1 species
CACGUAGUUAGCCGUCCCUUUCUGGGUAGUUACCGUCACUUGAUGAGCUUUCCACUCUCACCAACGUUCUUCUCUACCAACAGAGUUUUACGAUCCGAAAACCUUCUUCACUUACGCGGCGUUGCUCGGUCAGACUUUCGUCCAUUGCCGAAGAUUCCCUACUGCUGCCUCCCGUAGGAGUUUGGGCCGUGUCUCAGUCCCAAUGUGGCCGAUCACCCUCUCAGGUCGGCUAUGUAUCAUCGCCUUGGUGAGCCUUUACCUCACCAACUAGCUAAUACAACGCGGGAUCAUCUUUGAGUGAUGCAAUUGCAUCUUUCAAACUUAAAACUUGUAGUUUAAAGUUUUUAAUGCGGUAUUAGCAUUCGUUUCCAAAUUGUUGUCCCCGCUUCAAAGGCAGAUUCCCCACGCGUUACUCACCCGUUCGCUGCUCAUCCAGUCGGACAACGUACCAACCUUCAGCGCUCAACUUGCAUGUAUUAGGCACGCCGCCAGCGUCGUCCUGACGUCCAGGAGUACUAAACG